GGGUCGAUGGCGUAGCUGGUUAUCGCAUCUGUCUAACAUAAUGUGCUUACAGUCCUAAUGUUCACAGAAGGUCCUCAGUUCGAACCUGGGUCGACUCA